rnacentral:misc_RNA from 1 species
UUAACUAUUAUAUAGUACUCAGACGACACUAGUAAACAGAGUUUAGGGUCCUCUGGCGAGCGCUCACCAGCACGAGGCCGGUGGCCGAAGCGGCUCGCCAAAGCAACAAAGGUAUAAUUAACAUAGGGUUGGAGAGUCACCCUUGCGGGCGAUGUUCUCUGUAAUGAUCCCUCCGCAGGUUCACCUACGGAGA